GCGGGGCUCGCUCUCUGGUGAGAGCACCUGCCUUACAAGCAGACCCAGGAGAGUUCGAUCCUCUCGCCCCGCA
rnacentral:tRNA from 1 species